AGCGGUUCCUGGCAUUGUGCUUAUAACGGUGAGAAAUUCAAAAUAACUAAGGCAUCCAGCACCGGGAGAGGGUGGCGGACGUGCACCGGGGCAACAGCAUGGGACAGCAUGCAGACCCACCCCUGCUGCUGGCACUGAACUUCUCGUCGGGCUGGGGGGACGUGCUUCUGGUGAGAUGCUAGGGAGAAGACUGGGCAUCCUACCCGCGUCUACGGUGCUCACUAAGGACGUGGACUCUGCAGUCAGAACCCUUCUCUGCCUUUUUCUCCCCAUGUGGGAGCCUGGUCUGUCACCCCUUGAAGCUUCAAUUUGUGCAUCUAGAAAACCAACUGACACCGCCUCCCUCCAAAGGCGAGAACAGAGGUCCCCCAGUCUCAGCCUGCUGUCCUGGCUCACCUUGGGUCCCCAUGGGGUCCGAGGGGACGGGAGUGAUUCGGUGAUGCCCACCUGCUCCCCACUCUGACCCGGGUACAGGAGCCAGCGCCCCCCUCCCACGGAAGUCCCAGGAAGGAAGUGAGUAAUGCGCUGGGCACCGAGCUCGGACCGAGGCCAGAUGCAGUGCUUCUGUUGUUUUCUCAUCUCAAGUGUGGGGGGCGGAGGCCAACCUCUCGAUGGGUGCCCGAUUGCCGCUCACCUGGGACGACUAACUGUGCCGAGGCACCGCCAGGCUUCUGGCCAUCCCGGGUGGGCGGCAGGAGCGGCCAGGGGCAGACCCCUCCCUCCUGCACCAGUCGUUCCUCCCUGAAAACCUCUCUUCUACCCAGGCCAGCAGGCUGAGCCUGAAGACAAAAACCCCGUCCCAUCAGCACAUCCCUACCCUCCCCCCCCCCAGUAAAGGGAACUAUGCCCUGGCCAAACUAGAAAGUUGUCAUAGGCCUGCGUUGAACCCUGCCUCAGCUGUGUUAACUGUGUGGCCUUGGGCAAACCGCUUAACUUCUCUGUGCUUUGUUUCCUCUUGUAUAAAAUGGGGGCCAAAGCGGGCGCUCCCCAACAAGGUUGUUGCGAGAGCUGAGUAAGACAGCAUACAUCAAGGCAGCGCCCCUCGUAGGAGGAACUCAAGAUUGUUCUCUCCUUCUCUCUGCUGUCCUGAGGCAGGCUCAGGCCGGGUUAAGGAGAGGGAAGGCUUUGAAGGCUUUACCUAAAGAUCUGUCCAGCUCCUUCUGCCUUGCCCCCACCAGCCCUCAGCCCGCUGCCCAGUGCUGCUUGUCCCUUGGGGGCAGGAGAGGCAUUUGUGGUGCUUUUCAAUAUCCUCUCUUGGUCUCUUGGGCACCAAUCAGCCUUCUACCUGUUCCCUGGCUGCACGAAAUUCAGGAAGUUCAACAAACGCGGAGGGCUUGGACAUCCCCGUGCACUGUGCCAGAAUAAACAGGGCCUGGCGCAGGGCUGCA
rnacentral:lncRNA from 1 species